GGCCAGUUAGCUCAGUCAGUUAGAGCAUGGUGCUGAUAACACCAAGGUCAUGGGUUCGGUACCCAUGUGUUGCCU
rfam:Apaloderma vittatum contig85424, whole genome shotgun sequence.